UUCAUCGUCAGCGGCGCUGGCUUCGCGUCGGUGGCGCGAUGUCCCGCGGAGUCCUCGCGGCUCGCGCGCGGGCACGCUACCGUGCGCCGAUGUCCGGCUGCCGUCGUCGUGCACUUCUCCCCAAGUAGAACGUCGCGACCCGCUGGGUGUCGGUCUACGGCCCGGGUGCGGUGACUGCCGCGUCGCCGGUAAAACGGCACGCGACAAACCCUCGGCCGCCCGGCCGGCUGCUCGGCGGUACGCGCAAGGUAUCAGGCCGCACUUUAUACACGGUGCGUCGAGGCCGUCGCAAGCGCGCGCCACGGUACUCGGAGGUUACGGACUUUGCGCCGUCCCCGGUCCUGGCCCGCUGUUGGUUUAAGUACGGAUCACCUUCGACAGGCCUGCGAACGUCUCUCUCACGGGGGACGGAUACCGGUCGGCGACGCUACUGCUUUGGGUACUCUUAGGACCCGUCUUGAAACACGGACCAAGGAGUCUAACAUGUACGCGAGUCAUUGGGACUUGUCGCGAGACCUAAAGGCGUAAUGAAAGUGAAGGUCGGCCCUGGCCGUCGACCGAGGGAGGAUGGGCCGCGUCGCGAUGCGGCCUCGCACUCCCGGGGCGUCUCGUUCUCAACGCGAGAAGAGGCGCACCCAGAGCGUACACGUUGGGACCCGAAAGAUGGUGAACUAUGCCUGGUCAGGACGAAGUCAGGGGAAACCCUGAUGGAGGUCCGUAGCGAUUCUGACGUGCAAAUCGAUCGUCGGAACUGGGUAUAGGGGCGAAAGACUAAUCGAACCAUCUAGUAGCUGGUUCCCUCCGAAGUUUCCCUCAGGAUAGCUGGCACUCGGCCGUUCCGCACGGAACGCGCGCGAGUCUCAUCUGGUAAAGCGAAUGAUUAGAGGCCUUGGGGCCGAAACGACCUCAACCUAUUCUCAAACUUUAAAUGGGUGAGAUCUCUGGCUUUCUUGAAUUAUGAAGCCACGAGCAUCUCGGAUCAGAGUGCCAAGUGGGCCAUUUUUGGUAAGCAGAACUGGCGCUGUGGGAUGAACCAAACGCAGAGUUAAGGCGCCCAACUCGACGCUCAUGGGACACCAUGAAAGGCGUUGGUUGCUUAAGACAGCAGGACGGUGGCCAUGGAAGUCGGAAUC
rnacentral:rRNA from 1 species